rnacentral:pre_miRNA from 1 species
UGUAAACAUCCUUGACUGGAAGCUGAUCCGCGACGGCCAAAGCUUUCAGUCGGAUGUUUGCA